UGGCUUACCUCCUCAUUUAUGCGUCAUGACUUGUAUCGUCUUGAGCGUAUUGUGGGUUUCCUGUGUUGCAUACCUGACUAAUGGUAUCCUUUAGAUUGAUCGAAGUCCCUUUUCAUCUUGUGUUGCCUUUGCGACGCAUGAUUAACCUCGAAGCGGUCUCUAUGUUCCACCACGUUGAUGCUAGUGUUUCGAUGUUGUGGCCCAUUGAGCGUUGCUUGGUUUCGUGGAUACAGAACAUGAUUUGGGCAUAGGGUCACUCGUGACUCUUGUUUUGUCCUUUACCAGUGUUCUUUAUAACGACGGUUCAUGCGCGCCUAGGCUCGUACCUGCGCGAUGUUCUUUGUCGAAGAGG
rnacentral:misc_RNA from 1 species